GACGAACGCUGGCGGCGUGCCUAAUACAUGCAAGUCGAGCGAAUCAAUAGGAGCUUGCUCCUGUUGGUUAGCGGCGGACGGGUGAGUGACACGUGGGCAACCUGCCUGUAAGACUGGGAUAACACCGGGAAACCGGUGCUAAUACCGGAUAAUCCUUUUCCUCUCAUGAGGGAAAGUUGAAAGUCGGUUUCGGCUGACACUUACAGAUGGGCCCGCGGCGCAUUAGCUAGUUGGUGAGGUAACGGCUCACCAAGGCGACGAUGCGUAGCCGACCUGAGAGGGUGAUCGGCCACACUGGGACUGAGACACGGCCCAGACUCCUACGGGAGGCAGCAGUAGGGAAUCUUCCACAAUGGACGAAAGUCUGAUGGAGCAACGCCGCGUGAGCGAUGAUGGCCUUCGGGUCGUAAAGCUCUGUUGUUAGGGAAGAACAAGUACCGGAGUAACUGCCGGUGCCUUGACGGUACCUAACCAGAAAGCCACGGCUAACUACGUGCCAGCAGCCGCAGUAAUAC
rnacentral:rRNA from 1 species